rnacentral:lncRNA from 1 species
CUAAAUCUCUUACCAUUUCGGAAAAAGUGGUUUUAGCUGUAGUGAAAAUGACAUGCAGUUUUCAUAAAAGUACACUAAAAUGAUUAAAAACGACUCGCCAUAACAAUAUUGUCUUCACCACUACUUAUUUUUAUGUUUAUGUCCCACCAAGUAGCUCAAGGUGUGCAUAGCUCUCCCCGCAUCCUAGCAGGUCAAAAUUCAACAGGCGCAGUGCAGGGGACAGGGAGAGGCAGUGAUGAGUCUUACAGUUCAGUUAUGCUACUUGAGGGCUGCAGCUUUCCCCAACCUGAUGGCCUCUAGUUGCUUCAGACUGCAGCUCAACAUCUGGAGGGCACUAAAUUGCAGAGUAUGGCAGAAACCCCUGUAAGCCUGUAGGAAAAGCCAGCAGGGAUUUUACUGUAAUUUCUCUUAUUCUGGAUGCUAAACUGUUCUGAGGACCUUGCAAGCUGAAAGGUAGGAUGAUAGGGACCCCUGACCAUUAGGUCCAGUCGUGACCAACUCGGGGGUUGCGGCGCUCAUCUCACUUUAAAGGCUGAGGGAGCCGGCGUUAGGCCAGCAUGACUAAGCCGCUUCUGGCGAACCAGAGCAGUGCAUGGAAACGCCAUUUACCUUCCCGCCGGAGUGAUACCUAUUUAUCUACUUGCACUUUGACAUGCUUUCGAACUGCUAGGUUGGCAGGAGCAGGGACCAAGCAAUGGGCGCUCACCCCGUCACGGGGAUUCGAACCGCCAACCUUCUGAUCGGCAAGUCCUAGGCUCUGUAGUUUAACCCACAGUGCCAUCCGCAUACCUGUGCUUUAAAAAAUAAUAAUAAAUGCUGUAAGCAACAGACUGGACAAAUGGCAUCAGAGCUGAGGAAGAGAGGCAUUCUGUACUCCUCCUGUACAUUAAAAAUAUUCUAGCAUAUAAGGUUGUGCAUUAAUGUCAAUGCAAAUUUGUUAAUAAAAAAUGCAAAGUUAUUAAUCUAGUCCAAGCACAGGCAAACUCGGCCCUCCAGAUGUUUUGGGACUACAGUUCCCAUCAUCCCUGACCACUGGUCCUGUUAGCUAGGAAUGAUGGGAGUUGUCAUCCCAAAACAUCUGGAGGCCUGAGUUUGCCUAUGCCUGCUCUAGUCACCCCACAGCUAAAUUGGCCUUAAAGCUGGUGUAAAUACCUUGUCCUGAUGUAUCGAUGUGCACCAGCUGAGGGAAAGCCCUACUGGAAGAAGUUGGCAGAAGUUACACUAGUGUAAAGGGCCAAAAAAGUCUGUAAAGGGGAUGGGAGUGUUGGGCAAAUGAAUAAACACUUGUGCUGCGUCAGAACUUAUUUCAUCCACUGGUCCCAUCCCUGAAGCGCUUUCACCCCUUACAUCAACAAAAAUACAAUUUCGAUUAAAAUUCACCCCACAGUAGUCAAUGGAAGGGUAUAAACUGAAAGUUUACACUGCCUUCCCAGCAACCUACCACCAGGAACAGGUGUGAUGCAGCUUAAUUUGCACAGGAAAUAUGUCAGUGUAUCUGCCUUCUGUCAUAUCUGUCUGGUUAAGAUUGCUCUCCUGGCUGCAAUCCCUUAUCUGGAAGCUAGUUCCAUUGAACUCAGUGGAAUUUACUUCUGAGUAGAUGUGCAUGGGGCUGUAUUCCAGCUGUGAUCUGCAAGAUUUGCGUUUCCAGUAAUAACUAUUUUUGUUAUUUCUUUCCCAGAUCAACACUCCGAAACCAUUACUAUACACCUGUGCAUUUUUAUGUCAUUCUGUUGUGAAGACUCACUAAUGAUGAGUACAUCUAAGAACAUAGGAAGCUACUUCAUACUUAUCCAUCAGUUCAUCUAGCUCAGUAUAAGAGCAGCUCUCUUGGUUUUGAGGCAGGGGCUUCUCCCUGAGUCCCAAGAAAUGCCAGGGAUUGAAUCCGGGGUUUUCUGCAUGCAAAGCAAAUGCUUCACCAUUCACCCAUAGCUCAGUGGCCUGUAUUUCUUUUGUCUAACUUUUUGCCCCAUUGUAAAACAUGGAAAACAACUAACAAAGUUUAGGAAAUCUGCUUCCUGUUAAUUUUUUACUUUAGACAUUAAGUUAGUUACUAAACUGAAACUGGUACAGUACCUGCGUAAAUGAUACUGAAUACUCUCAAAAUGUGGACAAACAGUUCUUUAACUACCUGAUGCAAAGAGGAAGUCUAUUUAAAAGUUUUGAGAAGUUGUGUAAUGUGACUUUAUAUGUGUAUGUUGGCAGAAGAACAGCAUGAUUCCUGUACGUGGGUGUGGAUUGCUAGAAUAAUCAUGCUGAUGUAAUCCUGGAAAAUUUGACACAGACUAUAAAGGCUAGGGGAGUCAUGUUCAUGCUGAGCCUUUCAAGGAACACUGCCUUUUUUAUUUUUCACGUCGGCUUAUAUUGAAAUAUGUUCAGUAUUGUUUGGAAUUGUUGUCAUCUUCACUGCAA